rnacentral:rRNA from 1 species
CACGUAGGGUGCGAGCGUUGUCCGGAAUUAUUGGGCGUAAAGAGCUCGUAGGCGGUGUGUCGCGUCGGCCGUGAAAACUUGCAGCUUAACUGUGUGCGUGCGGUCGAUACGGGCAUCACUGGAGUUCGGCAGGGGAGACUGGAAUUCCUGGUGUAGCGGUGAAAUGCGCAGAUAUCAGGAGGAACACCGGUGGCGAAGGCGGGUCUCUGGGCCGAUACUGACGCUGAGGAGCGAAAGCGUGGGGAGCGAACAGG